rnacentral:rRNA from 1 species
AUUGAACGCUGGCGGCAGGCCUAACACAUGCAAGUCGAGCGGAUGAAGGGAGCUUGCUCCUGGAUUCAGCGGCGGACGGGUGAGUAAUGCCUAGGAAUCUGCCUGGUAGUGGGGGAUAACGUCCGGAAACGGGCGCUAAUACCGCAUACGUCCUGAGGGAGAAAGUGGGGGAUCUUCGGACCUCACGCUAUCAGAUGAGCCUAGGUCGGAUUAGCUAGUUGGUGGGGUAAAGGCCUACCAAGGCGACGAUCCGUAACUGGUCUGAGAGGAUGAUCAGUCACACGGGAACUGGGACACGGUCCAGAGGCCUACGGGAGGGAGCAGUGGGGAAUAUUAGACAAUGGGGGAAAGCCUGAUCCAGCCAGGGCGAGCGUGUGAAGAAGGUCUUCGGAUUGUAAAGCCGUUUAAGUUGGGAGGAAGGGCAGUAAGUUAACACGUUGCUGUUUUGACGGUACCGACAGAAUAAGCACCGGCUAACUUCGUG